GUCUGGGGAUUCUGGUAAUAGGGGUUGAAGUCACCAAGCCCCUCCCACAGUGAAGGUGCUCAUACACUGGACUGGGCCUCACUUUUACCUUGGAGGAAACCUAAGCAAAGAGUUGGUGAAGCCUCCACAGGAGGUUGUGCCAAGAGAGCUACUUAGUGGCCAAGUUCCUUCCUCUACCCACAGUGUGGCUGCCUCUCUCUCCUGGUGUGUUAUGACAACUUGGAAUAUAAUCUACAUGUCAGCAUCAGCUUUCCGGAAUACCUGCUUCUCAGAUUCUCAGAGAAGCCGGCGGUGGGGAUGAAGGUCUCCAUUUGGCCUCCAUCCCUGCCAGCACAGCAGAGGUACCAAGCCCCUGUAGGUCAUGGUUGCCAGAGGUGCCUGUGACAGAAGAGACCAAAGCAAAGCAUGGCUUUUCACAUGGCAGAAGACAGCCCAGCAUCUGAACAACUCUUCCAUUCAGAUUCCCAAGGUGCUACAUAUCCACAGCCAAUGAGAAGGAAACGCUCUACGUGGUGUUUGUUCUCUCUAUGCGGUAAUUUUACCACGCCCAGAGGAGCGGAGAUGCACAGGGGAAUUACAGGGCACUUGCUCACGGUUCCUGAUGGAACUUAGGUUUUUCUUACCCUGAGAUCUAAAUCAAGACAAGAGGACAAAGAAGCCCAGGCCCCACGGCCACAGCAUUACUGCCAACCCUCUCUGAAGUUACCAUGGCUAAAAACUGGAAUCCCUACUGGCUUCUCUCUUUAAAACACAACUUUUACUAAAUGUGGUGAGUUGCUGACUGUUAAGACAAUGGGCCUGUCCAAGCAACUUGUUUAGGAAUCAAGGGGAGAAAGACAUUGAGGGGCCCAAGAACAGAUGAAUUGCUCCCGAGAAUGGGAAACAAAUGAGCCGAGGUAUAAAUGGAUGAAAAACAAAAGGAAGAGAUUCCUGGAACAAUGUGGACUAUUGAAGGGAGAGCUGCAGGGACAGAGACCCAGGUCGUGGGACCAGCUGGGGAGUGGUGGGACAGGGGAGCUGAGCUGUCAGCUUACAGCUCAGGCUAAGGCUCUUCUCCCCCGCAACCCUGUGCUCCCGUUUUUUUCUUGCCGCCAUUAUCUGGUCUGCUGCAGUUUUGUGGUUGUAAAAAGGAGCAGGGAGGGAGAUACACUAGGUGGGUUUCGGAUCCACCCGCUCCCUCUCCAACACUGGCUGUGUCAGCUGUGCACAAUCUACAGCGGCCAUUCCUUUCUUUUCGAGAACUGCCUGCAGAGAGAGGCUUUUUGGGUAAUUUCAGUGUAACAUACAGGCCCCUGAGUAACUCCAUCUCAUUGUUCCCUGUAGAUAAUGGGGGUGUUCAGGAGCACAAUAAUGGACCCUGGGGGAAUCUCCCUUACCCCAAGUGGAAUUAAGGUAUCUCCUUCUCUCUAGAACACACAAUUACCUUGUCUUCGGGGUACAUCCACUAGGAGUUUUGUCUAGCUGGAGUCCAAUGAUGAUGAUGAUAACAGUGGUGGUGGUGGUGGUGAGAAUGAUUUUGUGGAUCACGGGCUCUUUUUGACUUAUGAUAGAGCUCUGCCCUGUAAAUUUAUUGUAGGCUGAAGACAUUUUGAAGUUGAAAACAUACUGAACAGAUCCAACCAGUGGAACAUCAUGGUUUAGUAACACAGGACACUAGGGUAGCAUGUGUCCCCUUGUGAUCAUGUGACCAGGAACACAUGUAUGUUGUGCCUAGCAUGAUGAAAGAAUAUCUUAUUGCCUAUCACUAGCAGCAGGGAAGCAAGGAGGUCCAAAAGCAAAAUUCGAACUAUGGGCUCUAUGGGAUGUCUAUGGCUUACACACCAUUGUAGAGUUGAAACCUUGCAAGACCAACCACUGUGAGUCUCAGAUGGUAGAGGGCCAUCUCUGGUGACCGAGACCAUUAGUGAUAUUUGCAUGGGGAGUGGACAGUUCUCGUUUCCUACCUCUCCAGGACCCGAGUCAGUCCAAUCUGUGAGCUUUUCUCUUAUGUGGUUGCAGUUCUGGGUUUCUCAUUCAGAAGCCAUCACAGUUAAGUCUUAGACUCCUUGGGAAGAUAGGGCUACACCUUCCACUGAGGCUCAGCAUUGCCACCUCCGGGAUGGAAGACACCAAGACAAGUUCUGAUCCUGGCCAAUUACCUCACAUGAAGGAAUGAGGCCCUGAGAGGAAGCAAAUGGCCAGCCUAUGACCACACAGGUCAUGUCAGAGAGUCGAUUAGGACCAAGAUCUCCCUUAUAGAACCCAUGCAACUGUUUGGUAACAGAACCAAAGUCAAGGUCACUGGUUUCAACCUGGGCUCUGUAAUAAUGACAGAAAUAAACGGCUCCCUCUUCAGUA